rnacentral:rRNA from 1 species
GACGAACGCUGGCGGCGUGCUUAACACAUGCAAGUCGAACGCUGAAGCCCCAGCUUGCUGGGGUGGAUGAGUGGCGAACGGGUGAGUAACACGUGAGUAACCUGCCCAUCACUCUGGGAUAAGCGCUGGAAACGGCGUCUAAUACUGGAUACGAGCAGCGACCGCAUGGUCAGCUGCUGGAAAGACUGGUUCGGUGAUGGAUGGACUCGCGGCCUAGCAGCUUGUUGGUGAGGUAAUGGCUCACCAAGGCGACGACGGGUAGCCGGCCUGAGAGGGUGGCCGGCCACACUGGGACUGAGACACGGCCCAGACUCCUACGGGAGGCAGCAGUGGGGAAUAUUGCACAAUGGGCGCAAGCCUGAUGCAGCAACGCCGCGUGAGGGAUGACGGCCUUCGGGUUGUAAACCUCUUUUAGUAGGGAAGAAGCCUUCGGGUGACGGUACCUGCAGAAAAAGCACCGGCUAACUACGUGCCAGCCGCCGCAGUAACAU